GUGAAUCAUCGAAUCUUUGAACGCAAAUUGCACUCUCCUCGGAGGGUAUGCCUGUUUGAGUGUCAGCCUAUAAAAAAUCGACAUCGUUGCUGUUUCGCGGUGGCGUUUGUCGGACAUUUGGUCAUCUUAAAUCUUUUGGUUUUAAGCGACUUAAAAUUUUCUUUUUGCUUCCAUGAACGUUUCUAAGAUUUAUUUCUUUACACGUUUAAGGUAUCGCUUUUUCUUAGACGUUACCUUCAUAUCGGAUGGCCCCCGU
rnacentral:misc_RNA from 1 species